AAAAGUCGUAACAAGGUAUCCGUAGGUGAACCUGCGGAUGGAUCAUUAACGAGAGCCAGCGUGCUUGGCCCGUGUGGUAGAGAACGUGUGUGUAUGUGGGUGCGUCGCCGGCGGCGGCGUGCCGACAUCACGUAAACCCGAACGUGCGUGCGGCACACAGUGCCUGUUCUGAUGCAGUGGAUGCAACGAAUGCAACCGAAACAACUGCUAGCAACGGAUCACUCGGCUCUC
rnacentral:misc_RNA from 1 species